AUUGAACGCUGGCGGCAUGCCUUACACAUGCAAGUCGAACGGCAGCACGGGAGCAAUCCUGGUGGCGAGUGGCGAACGGGUGAGUAAUGUAUCGGAACGUGCCCAGUCGUGGGGGAUAACGUAGCGAAAGCUACGCUAAUACCGCAUACGAUCUAUGGAUGAAAGCGGGGGACCGUAAGGCCUCGCGCGAUUGGAGCGGCCGAUAUCAGAUUAGGUAGUUGGUGGGGUAAAGGCCUACCAAGCCGACGAUCUGUAGCUGGUCUGAGAGGACGACCAGCCACACUGGGACUGAGACUCGGCACAGACUCCUACGGGAGGCAGCAGUGGGGAAUUUUGGACAAUGGGCGCAAGCCUGAUCCAGCAAGGCCGCGUGCAGGAUGAAGGCCUUCGGGUUGUAAACUGCUUUUGUACGGAGCGAAAAGGCUCUCUCUAAUACAGGGGGCUCAUGACGGUACCGUAAGAAUAAGCACCGGCUAACUACGUGCCAGCAGCCGCCGUAACAC
rnacentral:rRNA from 1 species